UACGUAGGGAGCGAGCGUUAUCCGGAUUUACUGGGUGUAAAGGGCGUGUAGGCGGGACAACAAGUCAGAUGUGAAAGCACGGGGCUCAACUCCGUGUCUGCAUUUGAAACUGUAGUUCUUGAGUGCUGGAGAGGCUAACGGAACUCCUAGUGUAGCGGUGAAAUGCGUAGAUAUUAGGAAGAACACCAGUGGCGAAGGCGGUUAGCUGGACAGUAACUGACGCUGAGGCGCGAAAGCGUGGGUAGCAAAC
rnacentral:rRNA from 1 species